rnacentral:rRNA from 1 species
AGUGAACGCUGGCGGUAGGCCUAACACAUGCAAGUCGAACGGCAGCACAGUAAGAGCUUGCUCUUACGGGUGGCGAGUGGCGGACGGGUGAGGAAUACAUCGGAAUCUACUUUUUCGUGGGGGAUAACGUAGGGAAACUUACGCUAAUACCGCAUACGACCUCCGGGUGAAAGCAGGGGAUCUUCGGACCUUGCGCGAUUGAAUGCGCCGAUGUCGGAUUAGCUAGUUGGCGGGGUAAAGGCCCACCAAGGCGACGAUCCGUAGCUGGUCUGAGAGGAUGAUCAGCCACACUGGAACUGAGACACGGUCCAGACUCCUACGGGAGGCAGCAGUGGGGAAUAUUGGACAAUGGGCGCAAGCCUGAUCCAGCCAUACCGCGUGGGUGAAGAAGGCCUUCGGGUUGUAAAGCCCUUUUGUUGGGAAAGAAAAGCAGCAGGUUAAUACCCCGCUGUUCUGACGGUACCCAAAGAAUAAGCACCGGCUAACUUCGUG